AAAGACUCCAAUUUCAGAUGGCAAAAUGCAUGGAAGCUGAGAUGGACCUUCUGGAGUUUUCGAUAAACCACUGUAGCUCAGUCAGAGGUCCAAUUAUGAUGAUACCCACACAGCCCGGUCCUCCCACAGCCUACAUCCAAUCCUCUGAGGAAGCUGAGUGGCACUGCCUUUAUUCACCACAGAUGCUACAGAAUCAGCAGAAGGAAGACUGUGAAAAGGAAAAAUGCACUCUUU
rnacentral:lncRNA from 1 species